rnacentral:sRNA from 1 species
UUGUAUUUCCCUUUCCAUACUGCUACGCCCCUCUGCUCCACCUCAUCUAUCAGAUCCCUGCUGUCUACUCAGGUCGAUCUCAUCCCAUACCUAUUGUAUCUGUUCCCAGAGUUCAUCAAGCGACGUGACGACUCAAGUUCUGUAAUUGGAUAAUGUGUGCUUACACCUUUCAGUGAGAUGGAUGUCGGGAUCCCACUCAUGCUCUUCAUGCUGUUUCUUAUUUGCGCAUAUUCUCGCUAUGAUCUGAUAUCGCGGCGGUAAUUGUUGGGUUCGUUUUCAGAGCUUGCAUGCGUGGCCGCGAUUUUAUAUAAGGCGAUUAUAUUGACGAUAAUCACGUCGUUUCGGGUUUAAUAGGCGAAGAUUUGUUUACAAUGGAAACAUUAGGAUAAUUGUACAGUAGCUAUUUAGUAAAAUGUACUUAAAUGAGGCUCUCAG